GGACGAACGCUGGCGGCGUGCUUAAUACAUGCAAGUCAACUUGACUUUAGAUAGCAAUAUCGAAAAGUAGGGUGGCGCACGGGUGCGUAACGCGUAGGUAAUCUGCCCUGAGGUCUGACAUAACCCGUCGAAAGGCGGGCUAACAUCAGAUGAUAUAUAAUCACGACAUCGUGGAAAUAUCAAAUCUUCGGAGCCUUGGGAUGAGCCUGCGUCUGAUUAGGUAGUGGGCGGAGUAAUAGCCCACCAAGCCUACGAUCAGUAGCUGGUCUGAGAGGAUGAUCAGCCACACUGGAACUGAGACACGGUCCAGACUCCUACGGGAGGCAGCAGUAAGGAAUAUUGCUCAAUGGGGGGAAACCCUGAAGCAGCAACGCCGCGUGAAGGAUGAAAUACUUUGUAUGUAAACUUCUGUAAGAUGGGAAAAAUAUUCUCCUCGGGAGAAUUGAUUGUACCAUCAGAGUAAGCCCCGGCUAACUACGUG
rnacentral:rRNA from 1 species